rnacentral:sRNA from 1 species
GCCAGGCAUGGAGGCACACGCCUGUAAUCCCAGCUACUCAGGAGGCAGAGGCAGGAGGAUCGCAAGUUGGAGGCCAACCUGGGCAAUUUAGUAAUACCCUGUCUCAA